CCCAGUGGGCCUUGUCCACCUCCCUAUCUUCCAGGGGAUAUACAUAUUGAAGUUGAAAAUGCUCUUCCUAAUCCUUUGUUGGCUUGAGGCUCUCCCCUCAGGAACUGCAGGAACUCCUGGUGCCGCCUGGGCCGAUGGAUUGGACGCCCCAGCCCCUCCGUUCCUGCCCAGCCACUGGGGCCGUGUCCAGUGGUGGCACUGCCAGCCCUGCAGGGGAAGUGGGAAGGGCCUUUGCAGGUCCUGUGGGUCACAUUGAUAGCAGUGGGAUGGAGCCUGGAAACUGCCCAGAGCUGAGCCCAGGGAUUGAAAGGGACCAAGCAAGGGAGGUGAAGAAAAAAGGAAGAAGGGAAGUGAGGCAGCAGCCAAGCAGCACCAAGUUGCUGUGUAAGCAGCAAGGUCCCGACUGAAGUGGCAGCUGCAGUUGUUCCUGUGGUGUGGGCCAGUGGAAUUCCAAGAAAAUGGACAAGGGCAGAACCUCUAAGAAUUAUUCCUAAGGCAGAGUCUCUCCUGGUAAGGCAAACCCAGUAUCCUUCAAAAUUGGGAAGCCAAGCUGGAUUGGUUCUAGUAACAGCUGAAUUUGCUGAUCAUGGUUUGAUAGUAGAAUGUGAAUGGAAGGACCUGUAAAGAAAGGAAAUGGGAAAGAUGAUUGAUUGCUGGGAGCAGGGGCUGACAGACAGUGGCCCUGGAUGUUUGGUUGUGGUGGGGAAUGAGCAGCUUGACCUGCCCAGGGUUGUCUGUGCUGGGGGUGGGUUUGGGUCCUGUGUGGCCACAGGUCUGUGCAGCAGCUGGAGCCUGGGCAGGUUUGGGGGCUGUGGUGUGCCAGGCUGCUGAGUUUGUUGUCCCUGUUUCCUUGGAGUGUCCCAGUGUCCCUGCUUGGCUGUUUGUUACCCUGCAGGCAGAAGAGCCCAGGCCUGAGCUGGCUGAGUGUUGGUGUGACCCACAGUGGGUGUCCCUGCCCUCGGGACAGUCCCCAGAGCUGCCUUUGGCAUCCCCUGCUGAAGGGUGGGAGCUGCCCAGAGCCAGCAGCAUCCAGCUGGAGGAUGCAGGAGGAUGCAGCUCCUGUUGUCUGGGAGGUGUUGACUCAGUACCUUUCUUGGAGCUGCUGUUGGAUGAAGAGGUGCCCCCAAUAGACCUGUAAGGUCCUGGUUUUCUUCCCUGCUUCUCCCAGCUUGUCCAGGAGAUGGAAUUCCAGUGCUACAGUCUAGAUGGGUCGUGGUGCUCCCAAAAGGAGCCUCUGUGCCUUCAGGACAAAUUCUGUUGCCACUGAAGCUGUUGGAGAAGUGGAGCACUGGCAGUGAGAGGUGUGGAAUGAUGUUGUUGUGGCACAGAAGAAAUGCAAUUGGCUGUUUUCUCUUGAAUGUAAUGGUGAGAGCUGCAGGAGUGCCAGGUGUGUGUUCCAGUCCCCAGCAUUUGGGUUGCACAUGUCCUGCUCAGACACAGGUCCAACUUGCUCAGUCCUUAACCCAAGAGAGGGAGAAUGAAGGACUGGCACUGUUCAGGUGAUUGGUGUGACAGGGGUUAAACUGGGAAAACAUUGGGUGAUUCCUCAGUUUGUCUGUUUGCCAAACUCACCCAAACCUGUGCUAGGAAGAGAUGGACUGGAAAAGUUGAGGCAGAAAUGGAAUUGAAAACUGGGACUAUUGACUCUGUAAUUGCUGAAACUAAAUGUGUCCAAGCAGCAGCUCUUGUUGUGCAGGGAAUAACUCCUGUCAGCAGCAAGGCCCCGACUGAAGUGGCAGCUGCAGUUGUUCCUGUGGUGUGGGCCAGUGGAACUGCAGGAGAGUGGAAGAGGGCAGAACCUGUAGGUAUUACCCCUGAUGUGGGGUCUCUCCUGGUAAGGCCAAGCCAGUGUCCUUUAAAAUCAGAAUGGCAGCUUGGAUUGGUUGCAGGAACAGCUGAAUUUGCUCCUCCUGGUUUGCUUGUAGAAGGUGAAUGCCAGAACCUGCCAAGAAAACCAAUGGCCAAGGGGAUUGAUUAGUGCAGGACCUGAGAGAACCCCCUGAAAUGACAGCCUGGAGUAGUUUCCAGGAUUAGAUUGCAAAGAUGGCCUUUGCUGCCUCUCCUUGAGCAAGGAAAGCCAAGAAACCUUUGCUUUUGCAGGAGAAAAUGGGGCAAGCGGGCAGGAAGAAGAGAAGCCCCGUGACUCCUCCCUGAGCCCCAGCCAGCCCCUGAACUGCCUUCCUGGGAAUGGUGGGACGGGCUGGACUCUGGAUUGCUCCCUCUGCAUGUGUGGCUCUCCCCUCAGGAACUGCAGGAACUCCUGGUGCCGCCUGGGCCGAUGGAUUGGACGCCCCAGCCCCUCCGUUCCUGCCCAGCCCCUGGGGCCGUGUCCAGUGGUGGCACUGCCAGCCCUGCAGGGGAAGUGGGAAGGGCCUUUGCAGGUCCUGUGGGUCACAUUUAUAGCAGUGGGAUGGAGCCUGGAAACUGCCCAGAGCUGAGCCCAGGGAUUGAAAGGGACCAAGCAAGGGAGGUGAAGAAAGAAGGAAGAAGGGAAGUGAGGCAGCAGCCAAGCAGCACCAAGUUGCUGUGUAAGCAGGUAGUGCCCUGGAUUAGUUGAUUUCUGCCUCACUCCCUGAUGUCUGAGUUUGGAGAUGUACCAAGAACUGGUAGUUUUUGCAGUGGGAUGUUCCCUAGAAACUGCAUGGAGCUGAGCCAAGGAACUUAAAGGGACUGAGCAAGCAAAGUAAAGAAAGAAUGAAGGGAACUGAGGCAGCAGCCAAGCAGCACCAAAUUCCUCCACAACCAGGUGAGUUGUGUUGAAGUUGCUAAGGUGGUCCCUGAGAACUCUGGGGGCUGCAGGCACAGGGGACCACCAGAGACCCCGAUGGAGCCCCUCAGAGACCUUAUAAAGGUUUGUGUUUAUGGUAACAGGUGUUGGGAAUGUCCUGAAUGUGGAACAGGAAUGCAGGGAAGGAAAAUGAACCCUCCUGUAAUGCUGACCCCUCCCAUCAGCUGCAGUGGAGACCCCUCCGUGUGCCCUUUGGGAGCUGAUUGCCAGGACCCCCGUGGGGCUGGGAUGAUG